GUUCCUUGCGGUGUGUUUCUAGUCUUGCUUCCUGUGGCUCCCUUUUCUCCCUGAGAUAAAAAACGAAGCCAGACUUCUCAACUUGCAAAAGUCGGGGUAGACUGCACAUCUAGAAACAUCCCCUGGAAAUGUGGGUGUCGAAGCUCCUGACAAAGAGGACAGCCGUGGAGGAAGUGCUCAGAGGCUGCUGGGCGAACCGGAAGUGGGAGCUGUUUCUAGCACAGAGGAUGUGGCUCAAGACAAGCUCGAAGCCUGCUACACCAUCAGUGAGCCCGGGGCCAUCUCAUUGCUGGUCCACCAGAAUCUACCAGGCACGGUCUCAACUGAGUGCAGAAGCACUGGGAAAACCUGCAGCACCCUUUGGUGAGAGCUCUCUGCUUCUGUACCGAGGAAGGAGUGGAACAAUCAUGAC